ACUAAUACUCCCUCUUCUCUCUUCCUAACACCCACACAACAAAAACACCCACGCAUAGUAUACUCCCUCUAUCUCCCUUUAAUUCUUCACACAACAAAAAAAACACACCCAUUAAUCCAUCCCUCUACCUCUCCGCAACUCCAUCAAACCUCACUAUUCCGCUACCAACCUUCAUCCACCAUCCCGUCUUCUUCAACACAGUAUAAUACCCCUCCGCCAAUCGCUGCAAACCGCAAGCCACAAACAAACAGCAAACUCCCUCUAAUCUCUGCCAAACAAUCGUAUUCCACUUUUCCUUUUUAUUUUAUUUUAAUUUGA